CUCCCUCCCCGUGAUCCUGAAGAUUGGCGCAAAGAGAUUCACCUAUCUUUCUUACGAAGCUUGGCAUGCGUGUGAAGUAGAGGAUUUGUACGUUCAGAUCUUGCAAGGCAUUGGAUUCGAGUUCUCCUAGGGAUUUUGAUCCCUAUUCCACUGCAUAUUUGGUAUGUUAUGUUACCACUAUUAUAAAAAAAUUUUCAAAUGCACUCUGGCGAUAAGAUCAAAUCGGAUGAAUAUUUUCUUCAUUUGAUCUUGUACAUAUAGUAGCAUACAUUAGGCUUCUAAUAGUACU
rnacentral:lncRNA from 1 species